AAAGGGGGGGAGGGGGGUUAGAUAGGGAGAGCGAGGGAAGGAGAAAAGGAGAGGGGUGAGAGAGAGAGAAGGAGAGAGAAGAAGAGUGCAAAAGAGCUAGAAAGGCAGAACAUUAGAAAAAUGAAGAAAGAUAAAGAAAGAUGGAGGGAGAAAAAGACAGAGACAGGCAGGAAUCUGCCUGGAUUUUUGAUCCUGCCUGGGCAGAACUCGGCUGUGAUCACAACAUUAAUAUUCAUGAACUCGGCCCCUCACAUCCCAACUCAGACCCCCUCCCCACACCCUCUCCCCCACCACCCUUUCUCCCCCUCACCCAAUCCCACUCCAUUGGGUGGCAACACUUGGUAGUGCCACAUGGUGAGACAGCUGUUGCAGGCCAACAUGGGCAUCUGUGCCCACUACAGAGAGAGAGAGUUCAGGCGAGGAAGGAGGCAGGCGUGGGGUGGCAUCAGUUGGGCCAGGGCAGGGCAGGGAGAGAUAGGCCAUCAGUGGGCCAGGGCAGGGCAGGGCAGGGAGAGAUAGGCCAUCAGUGGGCCAGGACAUUGAGGGCAGGGAGAGCAGGGAGAGAGGGAGACGACCCUGAUGCAACCUGAGGCCUGGACUGAAGGAGAGAUAAGGGAGAGAGAGGGGUAUAAUCACCCAAUUCCAGCCUGUAUGGUGAAAAGUACAGAGAUGGAAAGAGAGGGGGGUAGUUGUGCCAUAAGCAUCCGAUGCCAGCUGUGGGUAAAAGGUAGAGUGACAGAGACAUUGAAAAAGAGAGAGGGGGGGUGAGAGACAGGGAAAGAGAGAGAGCGAGAGAGACUGGGAAAAAGAGGGAGAGAGAGGGAGAAAGUAUCAGGGAAAAAGAGGGAGAGAGAGGGAGAAAGAGACAGGGAAAAAAGAGCGAGAGACAGGGAAAGAGAGAGAGCGAGAAAGACUGGGAGAAAGAGGGAGAGAUAGAGACUGGGAGAAAGAGGGAGAGAGAGGGCAUCACAAGCAUCCCAUGCCAGCUUGUUAUGGGUGAGAAGUAGCACCUGUCCUUUAAGAGCAGAGUGGAGCAUUAGCAUGAUAAAACCAUCCAUACUCCCAGUCCCAUGUGAAGUGUUGAGUUCUCUCAAUACAUACACUAACAACCCCAUCCAUUCCCUCUCUCUCUCUGUGUCUUUCUCUCAUCUCCCCACACCCCCUCGCUCUAUCUCUAUAUCUCCCCCUCUCUCUUCAUCCCUCUUUCUCUAACACCCCAACACCUCCCCAUCCCUCCCUCCCUGAUAUCUACAGAGGGCAUGGGACCAUUCCCAGGGUGAUUAUCCCAUGCCAGGUGCCCCCUCCUCCCCCUCUCCUUUCCUCACUCCCUCAGCCCCACCACACACCCUUGCCAUUUCAUUUCCCUCUCCCCCC
ensembl:lncRNA